rnacentral:rRNA from 1 species
UGACCCCCCACACGGGGAACUGAGAACACGUCUGGCUCCUACGGAGCAGCAGUGAGGAUCUUGGCAAUGGGCGCAGCUUGACCCAGCGACGCGCGUGGAGGACGAAGGGCUUCGGCUCGUAAACUCCUUUUCCCGUGGACGAGAGCAGGACGGUACACGGGGAAUAAGUCUCGGCUAACUACGUGCCAGCAGCCGCGGUAAAACGUAGGAGGCGAGCGUUAUCCGGAAUCACUGGGCGUAAAGGGCGUCUAGGCGGCACGACAAGCGAGGUGUGAAAGCUUCUGGCUCAAUCAGGAGAGUGCGCUUCGGACUGUCGAGCUUGGAGGGCAGGUGAAGGGGGUGGAAUUCCCGGUGGAGUGGUGGAAUGCGUAGAGAUCGGGAGGAACACCAGUGGCGAAAGCGGCCCCCUGGCCUGUAUCUGACGCUGAAGCGCGAAAGCGUGGGGAGCAAACGGGAUUAGAUACCCCGGUAGUCCACGCCGUAAACGAUGGUGACUAGGUGUGGCUGGCUUAAGGGCUGGUCGUGCCGAAGCUAACGCGAUAAGUCACCCGCCUGGGGAGUACGGCCGCAAGGCUAAAACUCAAAGGAAUUGACGGGGGCCCGCACAAGCAGCGGAGCGUGUGGUUUAAUUCGAUGCAACGCGAAGAACCUUACCUGGGA